GACGAACGCUGGCGGCGUGCUUAACACAUGCAAGUCGAACGGAAAGGCCCUGCUUUUGUGGGGUGCUCGAGUGGCGAACGGGUGAGUAACACGUGAGUAACCUGCCCUUGACUUUGGGAUAACUUCAGGAAACUGGGGCUAAUACCGGAUAGGAGCUCCUGCUGCAUGGUGGGGGUUGGAAAGUUUCGGCGGUUGGGGAUGGACUCGCGGCUUAUCAGCUUGUUGGUGGGGUAGUGGCUUACCAAGGCUUUGACGGGUAGCCGGCCUGAGAGGGUGACCGGCCACAUUGGGUCUGAGAUACGGCCCAGACUCCUACGGGAGGCAGCAGUGGGGAAUAUUGCACAAUGGGCGGAAGCCUGAUGCAGCAACGCCGCGUGCGAGAUGACGGCCUUCGGGUUGUAAACCGCUUUCGCCUGUGACGAAGCGUGAGUGACGGUAAUGGGUAAAGAAGCACCGGCUAACUACGUG
rnacentral:rRNA from 1 species